rnacentral:ncRNA from 2 species
AAUAAUUGCAAGGGGGACUUUGACGUUGAGAAGGUAGAACCUGACCCUAUGAACCUGUGAGUUAAUACUCGCGUAGGAAUGCAUGCGACUUUUUAU